rnacentral:rRNA from 1 species
AUUGCACGCUGGCGGCAGGCCUAACACAUGCAAGUCGAGCGGAGCGGCGGACGGGUGAGUAAUACCUAGGAAUCUGCCUGGUAGUGGGGGAUAACGUCCGGAAACGGGCGCUAAUACCGCAUAAUAUCCGAUGAGCCUAGGUCGGAUUAGCUAGUUGUUGGGGUAAAGGCCUACCAAGGCGACGUUCCCUAACUGGCCUGAGAGGAUGAUCAGUCCCACUGGAACUGAGACACGGUCCAUACUCCUACGGGAGGCACCAGUGGGGAAUAUUGGACAAUGGGCGAAAGCCUGAUCCAGCCAUGCCGCGUGUGUGAAGAAGGUCUUCGGAUUGUAAAGCACUUUAAGUUGGGAGGCGUUACCAACAGAAUAAGCACCGGCUAACUUCGUGCCAGCAGCCGCGGUAAUUC